AUAUAAUUUCUUUAUUAAAAUAUAACUCUUAUUUAAAGACUACAAAUCUAAUUCGACUGGCUUGGGCGCGUCCGUUGAAUAGAAUAGACGUUAGAAUACAAAUUUUUAUGAGAGCGAGCCAAACAACCUUUUGUCUCGCUUCUAUGUCUCAGGUUUCAGAGUUUCGCGCUCAGCGUGCGACAUCUAGCUACGAAACUCUGAAACCUAAACAUAAGGGGAAUUACACAUUAUUAAUGAUAGUUGCCUUAAUUUUAUACUACAACUCGGCCAAUCUGACAAUUUGAUCGCCCACGAUUAAAUUAAACAAACAAGUCUUAAGUUAUAAUCAUGAGAUGGUAGGUGUCGCCCUUAAUCAACCGAACCUUCAGAGUCUCGAUUCUUCCAAAGUCGAAUAUUUCGAGACUCGACAAUGCCAUCAUAUGGCAGCUGUGUGAUUUGACAACCUUCGAUAUCGCGUAUUACGUAUCUAUCAUUAGGUAGAAUUUUGUAAACAACGUAUGGGCCUCUGAACUUUGGAACCAAUUUCUUAUUUACACCGGUUGUUGUAUCUACAUUUUUUAUUACUACAUAAUCACCCUCAUCGUAUAUACGUGCCGGGUUAUUAUGCUCAUUAAAAUAUUUAAUAUUAUAUUCCUGAAUCUUAGUGAUUGCUUCUGAAGCCUUUUCUCUUGACAAUUCAAGAUUUCUUUCCAGUUGACUUAAUUGUUUAUCAUCAAGAAAUUCUGUUAAUUUGUCGAUUACUACUCCCCUUUGGUUAAUACCAAAUAACAAUUGACUUGGUGUAUUUUGAAUAGCGCGAUGUAUAGUGUUAUUUAGUCCGAAUUCUAUUUGUGUUAAAGUAACAACCCAAUCUGAGUGCUCGAUUGGUUCCGAAAGCUUAGCAAGCAUGCCAGUUAAUACCCUAUUGACUCGCUCUACUUGACCAUUGGCCUGUGGCGAAUGAACUGCCACCUUAACAUGAUCUAUAUUCUGGUCUAUAACAAAUGAACUAAACUCUAGUGAUGUAAAGCAGGUUCCCCUAUCAGUAAUUACUCUUGAUGGCCUACUGUAAUACUCAAAAUAUUUUCUUAGUGCUGCACAUACUUCUUUUGAGCUUGUAGAUACAACUGGGGAGAGGACCAAGAUGAUCCAAGUGUAUUGUAUGGAAUGGAAUGGGCUCCUUAGGAAUAUUGAACAAAUUGCGUAUAUUAGAUCGAACUGGUGCUGAGUGCAUUAUGCAACGGAUACAAUUUUUAAUGUAUUUUUCAACUUUUUCCUGAACAUUCGGAAACCAAUAGUGACGGCCAAUUUGAUCAGAGCUUUUUGUUACACCUAAAUGCCCAAUUUUCUCAUGGAUCAUUCUUAUAACAUUAGUUUCCAUUUCAGAUGGGACAUAGAAUCGAAGUUUACCAUUUUUAUUUUUUUUGAAGACAAUACCAUCCUGAACUAAAAACGAAUUAUUAUCUUUUAAAUAUAGUUUGUUUUUCAUUUCCAAAAUCUUUACAUCUCGAUUUUGGGCUGCUCUGAGUUGGAAAUCAACAUCCUCAGAGUCAAUAACGGAUAUAACAUUACAUCUGCUUAAGGCAUCAACAUGAUUCAUAUUGGCACCACUACGAUGUUUGACCUUAUAAUCAUAAUCCUCCAGCUCUAAGGCCCAUCGAGCAAUUCUAUGAUUAACAUUCUUUUUGUUCAGUGUCAUUGUUAAAGAACUGCAAUCAGUUACGAUUGUAAAAGGAAUACCUUGCAAAUAAACACGGAACCGACGUAAAGCUGAAAUUAUGGCUAAAGUUUCCAAUUCAAAACUAUGGUAUUUGGCCUCUUGAUCAGUGGUGCUUUUAGAGAAGAAUGCUACCGGAUGUAAUUUAUCAUCUUCUUGUCGUUGGAGUAGAACUGCACCAUACCCUAAUGAACUUGCAUCGCAAUGCAGUUCUGUUUCUUUCCUUGGACUAUAGAUUGCCAAUACAGGUGGAGAUGUUAACCGUUCCUUUAAAGUCUGAAAAACAUCUUCGCAUUCGGAAGUAAAUCUAAAAGGAGUUUCAGCUUUUAAUAAAUUAUAAAGAGGUCUUGCUAUUCUUGAAAAGGAUUCGACAAACCUGCGAAAGUAUGAACAAAGUCCUAAAAAUGAAUGCAAUUUCUUUCUGUCUUUAGGCACAGGAUAUUGAGCAAUCGCUCGAAUAUGGGAAUCACUAGGUUGGAUGCCAUGUUCCGUUACUUUAAACCCUAAGUAAUCAAGUUUCGAAUAUGCAAAGCGACAUUUUGACAAGUUGAGCUCCAACCCAUUCUUCGCUACACAACAUAAAAUUUUAGUAAGUAUCUCAAAAUGUUCAGUAAUAGUUUUACUAGCAAUUAAUAUAUCAUCUAGGUAGACAACUAUAUCUCCUCUGUCUAUAAAUUCACGAAAAAUUUGAAUUAUGAAUCUCUGAAAAACACUGGGCGCAUUCUUAAGGCCGAAAGGCAUUUUAAGAAAUUCCCAUUGACCGUUCGGGGUUACGAAAGAUGUUAAUUGUGUUGAAUCUGCUGCUACCUUUACCUGGUAUUCAAUGCAAUCGUCUAUCAAUGGUAUUGGAUGAGGAUCUCUUACUGUACGUUUGUUCAAUGCUCGAUAGUCUAUACACAUUCUGGUUUCACCAGAUUUUUUCUUAACUAAAACUAUUGGUGCAGCAUACGGAGAACUACUUGGCUGAAUAAUUCGUUUUUCCAAUAGGUCUUUUAUUAUUUCACUCACAGUACCUUUUUCUGAGACUGAUAGCCUUCGCGGAGCAAAACAAACAGGAAUAUCAGAUGUAAGUCUAAUGUGCAUCUCAAAAUCCUUUGGUGAAACCAUAGUUUUAUCAAAAUUCAAAUAAUUUUGAGAUACUAUAUUUUUAAUAGUUUUUGAAAUGUCUAAACUAAGAUUUGAAUCAAUGUCUAUA